CAGCAGCCGCGGGAAUACGGAGGGAGCUAGCGUUGUUCGGAAUUACUGGGCGUAAAGCGCACGUAGGCGGUUAUUCAAGUCAGAGGUGAAAGCCCGGGGCUCAACACCGGAACUGCCUUUGAAACUAGAUGACUGGAUCUUGGAGAGGUCAGUGGAAUUCCGAGUGUAGAGGUGAAAUUCGUAGAUAUUCGGAAGAACACCAGUGGCGAAGGCGACUGACUGGACAAGUAUUGACGCUGAGGUGCGAAAGCGUGGGGAGCAAACAGGAUUAGAUACCCCCGUAGUCCCUGUCUCUUAUACA
rnacentral:rRNA from 1 species